GUUUAAACACCGGUUCUCGUACGACCACUGAAGUUAAGCAACGUCGACCCUGGUCAGUACCUAGUUGGGUGACCGCUUAGUUAUACCAAGUGCUGUAAG